GAGGGUGUAGCUCAGUGGUAGAGCGCAUGCCUAGCCUGCAGGAGGUCCUGGGUCCAGUCCCCAGGCCCUCC
rnacentral:tRNA from 1 species